CAGUAGCCGCGGUAAUACGAAGGGUGCAAGCGUUACUCGGAAUUACUGGGCGUAAAGCGUGCGUAGGUGGUGGUUUAAGUCCGUUGUGAAAGCCCUGGGCUCAACCUGGGAAUUGCAGUGGAUACUGGGUCACUAGAGUGUGGUAGAGGAUAGUGGAAUUUCCGGUGUAGCAGUGAAAUGCGUAGAGAUCGGAAGGAACAUCUGUGGCGAAGGCGACUAUCUGGGCCAACACUGACACUGAGGCACGAAAGCAUGGGGAGCAAACAGGAUUAGAUACCCCUGUAGUCCCUGUCUCUUAUAC
rnacentral:rRNA from 1 species